rnacentral:lncRNA from 1 species
GGCAGAAGCUGGCGGUGGCGUUGCUCUGGAUAGAAGCUACAGCCUUAAGCUCCGGGGCUGCCCCCGGCUUUCCCCCAGCCAUUGUGAGCCAGUAUUGAUCAAGCCAGGAAGCAAUAGAGCUGCGCAGCUGAAGCCCAGGGUGGGCAGCAUUGAUCUGACCCCCCCCCCCGCCCCUCGGUUAUUACAGGAUGCUCUGGCCUGGGGAGUAGCAGGGAGAGUUUGUUUAACGAGGGUUCAGGGUGCUCUUCGCUAGCUGGUUAACUUUAAGUAUUGGAAUGGAAUUGAUGCGCACAUAAUAAUAUUAUGAUUCAUACAAACCACUUCUCAGGCAACUCAAUAUAUUUCAUUACCUCCUUUCUAGCAAAUGUAUUGAUUUCUGUUUUGCGGUUUUAUAACACAAUUUCAAGGCUGUUGUGGGCUUAAUGAGCCGUGUUCUUAUGAUGUUUAAAAAGAUUUGAAGCUAUUGUUGAAAUAAAUAUUAUGGAUUCCCCCCUCCCGAGGCCCCUUCACUCAGCCUGCCACUCCUCCUGGCUCGUCCCCUCCCUCGCGGGCGGAGCUGCGAGCAGAAAGCCGGGGGGCUGCAGCUCCGCCGCCCUUUGUGCCCAGAUCAAAGGACCGGAACGCCACAAAGGCGGCCCCACUCGGCCGCGGCCACACACAGCCGCACCUGCAGUGCGGCCAAAUGUCAUUGUCGCUUCUGCGGGGCGAGCGCGGACGCACCUCCGAGGCGGCAGAUGACUAAUAACGCUUGAUGAGAAUUGAUGGGAAGAGGCGCGCGGUGCCCAGGGCUUUGUAUUAGCUGCCCCGACUUCCCCAGCCUCGGCCGACCGGCUGCACCUGUGGACCCCCUUCCUCUCGGCCUUUAUGGAAGUUGACAGAUUUUAUUAACUUUAGGGAAGAACUUUCCAGCGUGCAGAGGGCCUCAGUUUAUUUUGUAUUCAUGCGAAACGGAAACUGAAAAAGCCCUGUUUACAUAUUUACCGGCCCCACUGACCUCCCACUGGGACCCCAUAAGUCACGCUCCAGAUUAACUUUGUCAUAGAAUUGACUUGGGCGCUGAGGGAGUUGGGACUUGGGGCGUGGGGGGGGGGGGGGCGAGCUGCAUGUGUGAGAUAUAUUUUAUCAACGAGAGAAAGCUAUAUUCAAUUAUCUAAUAUCGCUGAGGAACCCCCAAA